rnacentral:rRNA from 1 species
UACGGGGGGGGUAAGCGUUGUUCGGAAUUACUGGGCGUAAAGGGCUCGUAGGCGGCCAACUAAGUCAGACGUGAAAUCCCUCAGCUUAACUGGGGAACUGCGUCUGAUACUGGAUGGCUUGGAUUUGGGAGAGGAAUGCGGAAUUCCAGGUGUAGCGGUGAAAUGCGUAGAUAUCUGGAGGAACACCGGUGGCGAAGGCGGCGUUCUGGACUGUAACUGACACUGAGAAACGAAAGCCAGGGUAGCAAACGGG